UAGCCAGGAUGGCCUCGAACUCCUGACCUCGUGAUCCACCCGUCUCGGCCUCCCAAAGUGCUGGGAUUACAGGCUUGAGCCACCGCGCCCAGCUUUCAAAUUCUUUCUUGCAUGAGAUCCGAGAACCACGAUGUCUGGAUCAGGACCUCUUUCUGAUGACAGUUUGGCUCUGUGUCCCCACCCAAAUCUCGUGUUGAAUUGUAAUUCCCAGUGUUGGGGGAGGGACCUGGUGACAGGUGAUUGGAUCAUGGAGAUGGAUUUCCUCCUUGCUGUUCAUAUAAUGACCCAGAGAGAAAGCGCCUCCCCCAUGAAGCUGCUGGUCAAACGCUUGCUCCAUUGAGCACUCACUCUACCAAGAAACCUGGUGGAGCAGCUAAAGAAAGGUUCAAACUGGUCUCAAAAGUCAGACGGCCUCCACAAGGAAGGGAACCUGCACACAGCUGCGACAUGGACAGCCCUGAGGACAUCGAAUAAGCCAGACACAGAAGGACAAAUGCUGUGUGGUAGCACUUACCUGAGGCCCCUAGCGCCUCCGGCUCAUAGAGAAAGUAGAACAGCGGGUGCCAGAGCUGUGGGAAGGGGAUGGGAAAUGGGUGUUUAAUGGGGAGAGAGUCUCAGUUUGGGCAGAUGAGAAAGUUCUGGAGAGGGAUGGCGGUGAUGGGUGGACAAUGUGAAUGUACUUAAUGCACACUUAGCGACGGUUAAAAUGGUAUAUUUUAUGUUAUAUAAAUUUUACCACAAUUAAAAAAA